GAUGAAGAACGUAGCGAAAUGCGAUAAGUAGUGUGAAUUGCAGAAUUCCGUGAAUCAUCGAAUCUUUGAACGCACAUUGCGCCUUCUGGUAUUCCGGAAGGCAUGCCUGUUCGAGAGUCAUUAACAACCGUUUCGAUCCCUUUCUUUCAGAAAUUACAAAGAGGAAAAGGGUUUGGUUAUGGUGGAGGAGGGAAAGGGAGCGUUUAGCCUGUAAAAAAAGAGGCUGUGUUCCGCCUCCCCCCCAAAAUUGUACAGGCGGUCGUGUGCGCCCACGCAUCGAGGUGUUGUAAAAGCUGUCACGGCACUUUUCACCUGUGCAGUGCGAGAUUGGCCAGCCGGUUUAAAAACCCCUCCAAACAAUCAAAGGUUGACCUCGGAUCAGGUAGGGAUACCCGCUGAACUUAAGCAUAUCAAUAAGCGGAGGA
rnacentral:misc_RNA from 1 species